UGGGGAAUAUUGGACAAUGGGCGCAAGCCUGAUCCAGCCAUGCCGCGUGUGUGAAGAAGGCCUUAUGGUUGUAAAGCACUUUAAGCGAGGAGGAGGCUACUUUAGUUAAUACCUAGAGAUAGUGGACGUUACUCGCAGAAUAAGCACCGGCUAACUCUGUGCCAGCAGCCGCGGUAAUACAGAGGGUGCAAGCGUUAAUCGGAUUUACUGGGCGUAAAGCGCGCGUAGGUGGUUCGUUGAGUUGAAUGUGAAAGCCCCGGGCUCAACCUGGGAACUGCAUCCAAAACUGGCGAGCUAGAGUAGGGCAGAGGGUGGUGUAAUUUCCUGUGUAGCGGUGAAAUGCGUAGAUAUAGGAAGGAACACCAGUGGCGAAGGCGACCACCUGGGCUCAUACUGACACUGAGGUGCGAAAGCGGGGGGGGCAAACAGG
rnacentral:rRNA from 1 species